rnacentral:lncRNA from 1 species
AGAGGGGUCCAUAAGGAAACUAAGGGAUAUUAAGGCCUCCUUUUAAUAGAGAACCGGAACAAAGCAUUAACACAUAGUGAAUACAUGAACUCCUCAAACUACGGUAAUAACCGGAAAGAAUCUCAGUUAUUGUCACCCUGGGGGAUGCAGAUCAUAACACAUAGCACGUGCAUACAACUUGCAAUAUCGUAUAUAAAACAAAAA